AUACAUUCUUCUUUCUCAAUUUCUUUGGAAGACAAACGGUUCAUCAAGAGAGGAAAAGAACCGUGAAGGUCACAAUGAAGCUCUACCUCGAUUUUUCGUCAUUUCAUUGAUUCGAAUGCGUAAACCUUUAUAAACAUUUAAGUAAAGCGAGAGGUUUCUCGGCGAUAGCCGAAAUGGAAGAAAAAGGGAUCCGGAGUGACUGGAACAUUAAGAUGGAAAAGGGGCUUAUGCUCAUAAGCCUGUAAGGUAGCAUGCCCAGGACUUAAAUAGCCUAAUUCUCUUAUGUGCUUUAAUGUGAUUUUUAUAUGACAUAUAGCUUGGUAAAUUAUGAUUAAUUAUGUGAUAAAAGACUUAUGAGGUAAAAUAUGAAAGUAAGAUGAAUUAUUGAAUGAUUUGGCAAUGAAGUAUGAAAAAGGAAGAAUAUGAUUGUGACUGUAAAGAUGGUGAGAUGCAUACAAAUAAGAUUUACACGUAAAGUAUGUCUGAUCGAUCUGUGAUGACGUCUGAUCUGUCUGUACGGAUGUGUUAUGUUGGAAAUCGUUGAUAAUAAAGUAUACUUGUAUGUGCUUAUGCCCCAUGCUUGAGUGUAUUCUGUGGGUACAAUUGGCAUGCCAUAGGACAGCAGCGCUGCAUUAUGUGUGAUCACUUGUCUUUUGGAUAACCGAAGCGAGGAUCGUCUGUUAUCUGAUGGGCUCCUAUCUGAUCUGUCUGAUAUGCACCCUUAUGGGUGGUCUGAUCAUCUGACCGAUAUGCACCCUCAUGGGUGAUCUGAUUAACUGUCUGCACACUAAAUGGAUGGUCUGUGCGGAGUUCUCUGAAGGACAAAAUCCGCAUCUGUGUCUGAUUAUCUGAUUCUGAUUCUGAUUCUGAUAUGGUCCGUGUACCCUAGUCUGUCACUAAGCACAUUAAUGGGCCAUAUGUGAAAGUUAUGUGAAAGUGUCGAUCAAAAUAUUCGUGAUGAUAUAUGUGACAAUACGUGUAUGAUAAUAUAUAAGUUAUAAUAUGAGAUUAGGUGAAACAUCUGUUAUAUUAUACGUGAAAAUGGAUUAUGUUACAUGGUUCUGUUGAAUUUUGAUAUAAAUAUUGAGAAUCAGAGACUUGCAGACAUAGUUUAUGACAUAUGGGAAUUCUUGUAUUAUUAUACCCUUCUGAUGACAUAGUUGGAAAUUUGAAGUUGUAAAUGAAGAUUUGUCUACUGGUACAGGUAUGUUGAUACGUGUAAUGACGUCUGUGAUUUGUCUA